rnacentral:rRNA from 1 species
AGAGUUUGAUCCUGGCUCAGGAUGAACGCUGGCGGCGUGCCUAAUACAUGCAAGUCGAGCGAACGGACGAGAAGCUUGCUUCUCUGAUGUUAGCGGCGGACGGGUGAGUAACACGUGGAUAACCUACCUAUAAGACUGGGAUAACUUCGGGAAACCGGAGCUAAUACCGGAUAAUAUUUUGAACCGCAUGGUUCAAAAGUGAAAGACGGUCUUGCUGUCACUUAUAGAUGGAUCCGCGCUGCAUUAGCUAGUUGGUAAGGUAACGGCUUACCAAGGCAACGAUGCAUAGCCGACCUGAGAGGGUGAUCGGCCACACUGGAACUGAGACACGGUCCAGACUCCUACGGGAGGCAGCAGUAGGGAAUCUUCCGCAAUGGGCGAAAGCCUGACGGAGCAACGCCGCGUGAGUGAUGAAGGUCUUCGGAUCGUAAAACUCUGUUAUUAGGGAAGAACAUAUGUGUAAGUAACUGUGCACAUCUUGACGGUACCUAAUCAGAAAGCCACGGCUAACUACGUGCCAGCAGCCGCGGUAAUACGUAGGUGGCAAGCGUUAUCCGGAAUUAUUGGGCGUAAAGCGCGCGUAGGCGGUUUUUUAAGUCUGAUGUGAAAGCCCACGGCUCAACCGUGGAGGGUCAUUGGAAACUGGAAAACUUGAGUGCAGAAGAGGAAAGUGGAAUUCCAUGUGUAGCGGUGAAAUGCGCAGAGAUAUGGAGGAACACCAGUGGCGAAGGCGACUUUCUGGUCUGUAACUGACGCUGAUGUGCGAAAGCGUGGGGAUCAAACAGGAUUAGAUACCCUGGUAGUCCACGCCGUAAACGAUGAGUGCUAAGUGUUAGGGGGUUUCCGCCCCUUAGUGCUGCAGCUAACGCAUUAAGCACUCCGCCUGGGGAGUACGACCGCAAGGUUGAAACUCAAAGGAAUUGACGGGGGCCCGCACAAGCGGUGGAGCAUGUGGUUUAAUUCGAAGCAACGCGAAGAACCUUACCAAAUCUUGACAUCCUUUGACAACUCUAGAGAUAGAGCUUUCCCCUUCGGGGGACAAAGUGACAGGUGGUGCAUGGUUGUCGUCAGCUCGUGUCGUGAGAUGUUGGGUUAAGUCCCGCAACGAGCGCAACCCUUAAGCUUAGUUGCCAUCAUUAAGUUGGGCACUCUAAGUUGACUGCCGGUGACAAACCGGAGGAAGGUGGGGAUGACGUCAAAUCAUCAUGCCCCUUAUGAUUUGGGCUACACACGUGCUACAAUGGACAAUACAAAGGGCAGCGAAACCGCGAGGUCAAGCAAAUCCCAUAAAGUUGUUCUCAGUUCGGAUUGUAGUCUGCAACUCGACUACAUGAAGCUGGAAUCGCUAGUAAUCGUAGAUCAGCAUGCUACGGUGAAUACGUUCCCGGGUCUUGUACACACCGCCCGUCACACCACGAGAGUUUGUAACACCCGAAGCCGGUGGAGUAACCUUUUAGGAGCUAGCCGUCGAAGGUGGGACAAAUGAUUGGGGUGAAGUCGUAACAAGGUAGCCGUAUCGGAAGGUGCGGCUG